GAGAACGAUAUUAUUUGGUGUUAAAUAUUUAUCAAUGAACCCUCUUUAUUUUAUUUAUCCAUUUUAUUUUUUUCGAAGCAUUCAGACAUCUUUAUUUACAAUCCGUAUUAUAUUUGAUAACACCUGUCUCAUCAUUGUACUAUGUACUCCUGUUAUUUAUCAUUUAUUUAUCAAUUUUUUUUUUUUUUUUUUUUCUCUGGUGUGUUACGUCCAGGCCCUGUACUCUACAACGCUUUCCUAUCUCCCUCGCAACCUGACCGCUAGUCCCUCCGACUCCUAUUACUACUUUGUUCCCACGUAAAACUGCAGCGUAAGAUGCACUUGCCCCUACCCCGGGACGUUCAUCCUCCAAGAGUCUCACCCUGAUGCGGGGACUCUCGACUCCUCUGCCAGACCGGCAAGAUCGGACGUCAAUUCAAUCGUUCUUUUCCGAACCCAUUCAAGCUCAUUCUAUCAAUUAUUCAAUAAAAGUACUUUAAGUUGUUAAAAAUCAUCCAUUUCAUUUUUCCUAACCUUCACCACACUCUUCAAGUGCCACAAGCACCGCGAACGGGAGGAACUUUUUCGACGUCUCUACUGUUGGGACGUAACAUUAAUUUUUUUUUUCAAUCUCUAUUGUUUUUUGAUUCAUUGAAUUGCUCGAUAAUGCCGCUUCAGAUCAAACAAAUGAGUGCGACAGAUCUGAUAAAGAACCAACCCACGUUGAUGUAUCCCUUUCACAAAUUCAUCUGCCGUGGAGAGAAAAAAUCCUUUGACACAAGUGAUAAAAUCCUCCAUCAAAACUGCGAGUCCUUUGACGAGCUGGUCUACUUCAAAGGAAUCGACUUUUUCGAUGCAAGGAACAAAAUUACACAUCCCAGUUUUAAGCUUUCUAUACCACCAAGGUACUACGUCCCUUGGCUCAGAUGAUAGGUCUCUGUCGGUGUCGAAACAACUGUCACGAGUCUUAUCAUUUCUGGAAGUUGGAACUCUUACGACACAGACAUCAAAGUUCUCUGUCAAUGUCGCAAUUUCUUCAAUGAUUCGAAUUUCCUUCAAAAGUUUUAGGUUCUCGAUUCAAAUUGCAAUUCCUAUCUUUUUAAUUUCAGUGAGGAUUGUUAAUGAUUGAUAAUGAUUAACCAGUUGGUCAAAUAAAUUUCAGACUUAAUCAAUUCAAAAUCAUUUAAGUUUAUUUUUCAACCGGUCAUGACCAAACCUUCAUAACAUUGUGAGGUUUCUGUCUACAUUUGAAUCUCAUUCAAUUGAUCAAUUUUAUUCCAUGCUAUGCCACCCUACUUAUCUGUGUCUGGUUUUGUGUGGUAUUAUUCACCUGACACAACAUACCUCAGUCAUAUUCAAAGACCGCGAUAUCAGCUGUAUUGACGAUGGACAAUUUGACAGCUAACGCGGGAAUCUGCGGCAGUUGGUACAACACGCUAGCAGCUAAUCAAUUUGACUUUCGUUUUGAUUCGCGCUUGCGCACAAGAAUUGGGCGCGAUAUUUCACGUUGUCCUCGUACGAUCCUGGUCUUACAGGAGCUGCGGUGGGUUGGAACAUGCGUAACCUUGUCGCCAAGUCGAGGUCGUCAUCAUCCGCAACGUCGCUGUCACUGUCGCUUUCGCUCCGUGCAUCGAGAGGUUCGUCGUUUUCGUCGUCAACAACUAGUGUGAAUUCCCCAUCUUCGAAGAAUUCGACGGCACUUACACCAGCUUCGUAUUGCCGAUCCGUAAGAUCACCAUCACCCCAGGAGAUAUAAUGCAACAGCUGGUGGCACUGAGGGCUGCAGUGGCAGAACUGCAGCGCGGCAGCAGCAGCCACCGCAGCCACCGCAGCCCGCUGCCGCUACCGCUAACGCGGUGACGGGGGCCUGACCGGAGACCCAGCCAGAGAACGAGCCCGAGCCGGCACGGGCGAAGCCGAACAAGCGAGGAAGGAAGCAGAAUAACCGCCGCCACUGGGGGGCAAUCGGGCAUCCACCAUCUACCAAUAUUACUAAUGGUCGUAAUAUUGGUAGAUGGCGGGCCGGCGACGCUGCCCCCAAACAAUAGAAAUAUAAAAUCAAAAAAUAAAUAUCUUCUGAAAAAAUA